AUGACAACUCGUUCAGAAUUCCAUGCCCAUAUAAAUACGGAAGCCAACGGAGCAGCGGAGGCGAGAGAGCUCAGCCGCAAGGGAGGAGAGGCAGCUGAGGCGCCACGUGUACCCAGCCGCUGCCUCACUCACGAGCUCCACUCGAGCUUCCUCUUCCCCACCCAAACUCGUGAUACUGCUGUGUGCGCCACCGGCAACGAGAGCCCCGGCCUAGAUGGCUUCCUCCAUGUUGGCCUCGCCGGCACCUCGCCCUCCCGCACGCGGCAACCGCCACCCUCGCACGUGCCCAGUAGCUGCCACCGCCGCUGCAGUGCCGUGUCGUGCCGUCUUGGCGCCGCGGCGUGCUGCCGGGUGGUGGCCGCCCCCGCCGGCCCCUCGCUAGCUGGAUACGACCUGCCGAACAACUCUUCCGCGGCGCCCGUGCAGCUCGUUCAUAUCCAUUUCCGUAGGACCCUCGCCUAUAAAAGGCUGUGCAGAGCACACUGGGGAGGAGCGAAGUUGAAGGGGAGACGCGCCCACGGCGGCAGCGUCGACGUGGCGAAACCGAUUGAAGAGACGCGCCCACGCUUCAGCGAGCCAAGGUGCGAGGUCGUGAACGACGCGCCCUAUCAGGAGAUGUACGCAGUCCGUGGCAGUGGUGGCGACAGCGGCAGCAACGGCGCGGAACCGUGGAAAACACAGCCGAUCGAUCACGAUGCACUUCUUCUUACUUCAUGGUUUAUCUAUAUAUACAUAUAUCUCGUUCUUUCCACUCCUAAUCUCUCAGGUGACGCGGAGGUGCAUGCGUGGUUAGCUGAGAAGACCCACACAAGAAACGGGAGGCGACCCAGGGAGGCGAGGACGCUCCUGCGGCAGCGCGCGCCAGGGACGGCCAAAACACCAGAGGCUGGACGCAGGAGAUGCGUGAGCCCUUGGUGGCGGGCGACGGCGCCCUCACAAGCGCGCCCAUGUAGAGGAAGCAGCGGCCGCAGCGUGCCGGCGGCCGGAGUCAACGCUGGUCGUGUCCGCAAGGCCGGGAAAAAAGCAGCGAGAGGAGACCUCAAGGCCAUCGGGAGAUUACCCCGGGAGGAACCGAGCCAAGAGGAGACGCGCCUGCGGUGGCUGCGUCGAGGAUGUGACGACGCGUCGGCGGCAGCGCGCACGGCCACCCCACAUACGCAUGGAGGCCAACACACGCCCAGUUGGAGAUGCUCCCAUGGCGGCGGCGGCGAGGAGAUCGCGAGGACGCGCCCAUGGCAAAGGCAUGCUCGCCAAGCAGCGCAUACACCCUGGUCGUCCGGCGGCUGCAGAUACACGAAGGAGCCCGCACAACUGGCCCUAGCACUCAAGGCGGCCGCGGGCGCCACCUAUGGCGCCUUCUUCGAUCGGCGUCUUCAUCCAUCUACACCACCACAAGGCUGGCGGCGUCCCGGCGCCAUCUACACCAUAUGCCAGCAUCGGGCCUGUCGCCAUCUACACCACCGCGACAACGUCCAAGCUGCCGGCCUACAGCCCGGCGCCAUCUCCAUCCUGCCAUCAUCAACCUGCACCAUAGUUGAGAGCGGCAACACCUCACGCCCAAGAGCUGGACAGAUGAUAUUCACGUACACAGGAAGAAGAAGCUCCGAUGCCAUCUCCAUGGAGUCAACAAGACACUCGGUGGCAGCGACGUACUCGCCCGGUGCCACCAAAGAAGACGGAGGAGGAGUUACCCAUCGUCCUGGCAUCUUUAUCAACCUCGCCAAUGUCAUCAUCACUGACAUCAGGCUCGACGGUCAUUCAACUGCAUCAACUCUUCAUCCGAUGAGGACGAUGUUUGCAUCAACGCGCCGUUGUACGCCUACAUCGACUUCAUGCGUGCCGUCAUACGCCUACAUCGACUUCAUACCCGGGGUCGACGCCGUUUACCGUGCCACGACAUCGCAAUCUUCAUCAACUCUUUGUUUGGCGAGGAUGUCCUCUACCUCGGCGCCACCGAACUUCGACAUGAUGAUAUUGCCAUCUUCUUUGACUUACUUCCUGGCGAGGAUGCCGACUGUCGUCAUCGUAACUGCGACGUCCCGAGCUCUACAUCGACAAGCUCGUCAUCUUCAAGCGAGGCCGCAUGCCAGGCAGCGACACUCAAGUCUACUCCAACUUCUACAUCAACUCUUCAUCCGACGAAGCGAAGCUACUUCACCGACAUGUCUUCUUCCGAUGAAGCUACCCAUAUCUUGCUGGGCACCGACGAGGCGAAGGCAAGCCACCAUGUCCGACACCAACGAGGCGGACACAACCAGGCCGGGCACCGACGAGGCGAAGGCCACCCAUCUGUCUGAGCUGACGAAGCCAGACAUCUUCAUCAUUGGACAUCGACAAGCCGGAGGGAUAUUGCAAGCAUUGUCGGAGCGAGGGAUGGUGGCAGAGAGACCGGAGGCGGACGUGGUGAUCGGGAGCGGGCUCGGGGGGAUCUGCUGCGCGGGCCUCUUCCUCCUGGCGAGGUACAACCAGGACGGGGUGGUGCUGUAG
rnacentral:rRNA from 1 species